rnacentral:rRNA from 1 species
AGUGAACGCUGGCGGUAGGCCUAACACAUGCCAGCCGAACGGCAGCACAGUAAGAGCUUGCUCUUACGGGUGGCGAGUGGCGGACGGGUGAGGAAUACAUCGGAAUCUACUUUUUCGUGGGGGAUAACGUAGGGAAACUUACGCUAAUACCGCAUACGACCUACGGGUGAAAGCAGGGGAUCUUCGGACCUUGCGCGAUUGAAUGAGCCGAUGUCGGAUUAGCUAGUUGGCGGGGUAAAGGCCCACCAAGGCGACGAUCCGUAGCUGGUCUGAGAGGAUGAUCAGCCACACUGGAACUGAGACACGGUCCAGACUCCUACGGGAGGCAGCAGUGGGGAAUAUUGGACAAUGGGCGCAAGCCUGAUCCAGCCAGACCGCGUGGGUGAAGAAGGCCUUCGGGUUGUAAAGCCCUUUUGUUGGGAAAGAAAAGCAGCAGGUUAAUACCCCGCUGUUCUGACGGUACCCAAAGAAUAAGCACCGGCGAACUGCGU